rnacentral:rRNA from 1 species
CUCACUAGUCGAGUCGGCCUGCGGUGGAAGAUAUAACCGGGGCUAAAUCAUAAACCGAAGCUACAGAUCUUGUUUCAAGAUGGUAGAAGAGCGUUCUGUAAGCCACUGAAGGUAAGCUGUGAGGCGAACUGGAGGUAUCAGAAGUGCGAAUGUUGACAUGAGUAACGAUCAAAGAGGUGAAAAACCUCUUCGCCGAAAAACCAAGGGUUCCUGUCCAACGCUAAUCGAGGCAGGUUGAGUCGGCCCCUAAGACGAGGGCGAAAGCCGUAGUCGAUGGGAAACAGGUUAAUAUUCCUGUACUUUUUAUAAUUGCGAUGGGGUGACGGAGAAGGUUAAGUCAGCACGGCGACGGUUGUCCGUGUUUAAGAUUGUAGGCCGAUGUCUUAGGUAAAUCCGGGACGUUAAAGCUGAGAAUUUAUGACGACCACUUACUAAGUGGGAAGUGGCUGAUACCAUGCUUCCAGGAAAAACCUCUAAGCUUCAAAUUAUAAGAAACCGUACCCUAAACCGACACAGGUGGUUAGGUCGAGUAGACCAAGGUGUUUGAGAGAACUAUGGUGAAGGAACUAGGCAAAAUAGCACCGUAACUUCGGGAGAAGGUGCGCCGCGAUUGGUGACGAGACUUGCUCUCUAAGCUGAACGUGGUCGAAGAUACCAGGUGGCUGCGACUGUUUAUUAAAAACAUAGCACUCUGCAAACUCGUAAGAGGACGUAUAGGGUGUGACGCCUGCCCGGUGCCGGAAGGUUAAUUGAUGGGGUUAGCUUAUGCGAAGCUCUUGAUCGAAGCCCCGGUAAACGGCGGCCGUAACUAUAACGGUCCUAAGGUAGCGAAAUUCCUUGUCGGGUAAGUUCCGACCUGCACGAAUGGCGUAACGAUGGCCACACUGUCUCCACCAUAGACUCAGUGAAAUUGAAAUCGCUGUUAAGAUGCAGUGUACCCGCAGCUAGACGGAAAGACCCCGUGCACCUUUACUACAGGUUCACACUGGACUUUGACUUUAUUUGUGUAGGAUAGGUGGGAGACUUUGAAGCUGAGACGCUAGUCUUAGUGGAGUCGUCCUUGAAAUACCACCCUUGUAAAAUUGAAGUUCUAACCUAGGUCCAUUAUCUGGAUCAGGGACAGUGUGUGCUGGGUAGUUUGACUGGGGCGGUCUCCUCCCAAAGAGUAACGGAGGAGUACGAAGGUAUCCUUAUCACGGUCGGACAUCGUGAGGUAAGUAUAAAGGCAAAAGGAUGCUUGACUGCGAGAUCGACGGAUCGAGCAGGUAGGAAACUAGGUCUUAGUGAUCCGGUGGUUCU